GUAAGUGGAGCUGUCAGUGAGAUGGUGGUGGCCUGAAGAGGCUUUACUAAAGGCAUGAUAGCCAUCUUCAGCCUACAAGGAGCUGUCUUGGCCAUUGUGUCUGCGGCAUCUCUCAGUGUCUUCUCUGCUUUCUGUCUGUGGUGCAGGAGGAAAACCAAAAUAAUACAUGAAGAGAAUCAAAUUUAUGACCCUCAAAUAUUAUGGCUCAGAUUACGAGAACUCUGAAUUCCUGGAGCAAGUGAAGAUGGGGUUAGAACCAUUAGAGGAUGAUGAACCAGAUUACGUGAACGACACUGACUGAUAUGGAAUCUACAUGCUCUGAGUGGAUAUCUAUGGGAAUGGACUUUUCUCUCUUUGUUGAGCUGCUUGAAUAAAUAUUAAGUUAUAAUGAUACAUAUGUCAAUGUGCUAUACCAGAGCAAUGCCAUUUUCGGGUUAAUGCCCAAAGUUGUAUUACUUCAUCAGGAAUUACCUUGAGUCAAAAUGUGAGGAACCAUGUGCAGCAGGGAUGGGCAACUGGCAGCCCAUGGAUCAAUUUCCAAAACUCAGUCAGGGUCUCAGUUUAUUGUUGAGAGAAUAGUAGAAUACACAAGGUGCACUUUUGAAAUGUGCAGUUGUGCAUCAGCGGUUAUGUCAGCCACUCAAUUAGCCCAUGCCAGCAAAAUUAUUUUAGAUUGGUAAAUUAGACUAGCGGCCAGCUAUCUAAACUUGUAAUCAUGUUCAAAUUAUGGGGCCACAAUUGAUCAUCAGAGAUCAUAUUAACUGCUGUUUGUCUCUACCCUAUGGUACAAUGUGUAGAAUUACAGAAAAUCCACUUAACUGCUGCUACUUUCCCCCCUGUUUGGACUGCAUGUAUGGAUGUGGGUAUGCAGACCCGCGAGCCACUGUGGCCCCCCAUGAGGAGUUCUGAUUUGUGGCCCCCACCCCCAUCAAUGUUGCCCAUCCCUGAUGUACAGUAUUUUGGAUUGUUUGAGUGUUACUGUGUAACUGUCACCAUCUAGUGGUACAAAAUGAAUACGAGUCAGCUCCAAAUGUAAAAGAAAAAAGAUUGUCAAUGUGUAUUAAUAAAUAAAUCCUUAC
ensembl:lncRNA